rnacentral:rRNA from 1 species
UACGAAGGGGGCGAGCGUUGUUCGGAAUUACUGGGCGUAAAGGGAGCGUAGGCGGAUUGGUAAGUCAGUGGUGAAAUCUGUGGGCUUAACCCACAAACUGCCAUUGAUACUGCUGAUCUAGAGUACAGUUGCCGUUGGCGGAAUAUGACAUGUAGUGGUGAAAUACUUAGAUAUGUCAUAGAACACCGAUUGCGAAGGCAGCUAACGAAGCUGUAACUGACGCUGAGGCUCGAAAGUGCGGGGAUCAAACAGG